rnacentral:rRNA from 1 species
AUUGAACGCUGGCGGCAGGCCUAACACAUGCAAGUCGAGCGGAUGAAGGGAGCUUGCUCCUGGAUUCAGCGGCGGACGGGUGAGUAAUGCCUAGGAAUCUGCCUGGUAGUGGGGGAUAACGUCCGGAAACGGGCGCUAAUACCGCAUACGUCCUGAGGGAGAAAGUGGGGGAUCUUCGGACCUCACGCUAUCAGGUGAGCCUAGGUCGGAUUAGCUAGUUGGUGGGGUAAAGGCCUACCAAGGCGACGAUCCGUAACUGGUCUGAGAGGAUGAUCAGUCACACUGGAACUGGGACACGGUCCAGACUCCUACGGGAGGCAGCAGUGGGGAAUAUUGGACAAUGGGCGAAAGCCUGAUCCAGCCAUGCCGCGUGUGUGAAGAAGGUCUUCGGAUUGUAAAGCACUUUAAGUUGGGAGGAAGGGCAGUAAGUUAAUACCUUGCUGUUUUGACGUUACCAACAGAAUAAGCACCGGCUAACUUCGUG